AUGAUCUUUGAAAACAAACAACAACCACAGACAACAACAAACCAACAAACAGAGCAACAAAUGAACAAAUAACUACAUAAUGACUGAUAAUGAUAAGUGAUAAUAAUAACUUUAAUGAUAUGAAGGCUGAUGAAGUUUUAGACAACCAAUACAAGAUUUAGAACUUGACAUUGUGAUAAACAAAUUGUACAUUCAGGAACUCGUUUAAAUAUUAUAGGUUGAUUGACGAAUACUCUACAGUUGAUUAGAGCCCAUGAUGAUGCGAAGAUAAUUAAUAUCACUUAACUUCAAGAAACCAACGUAAAGAAGUUUACAUUCUUAACUCAUCUAACCAUUAUAGAUCAGUAAUGUCGUCAUAAUUUAAAUGAACUCACAGAUAGCAAUGGGGCACUGCACCGAAGCAGUAUUACAAAAUAUGUGAAAUAAAACUGUAAUACAAAUUGCUCUAUAAAAUUUAAUAGAAAUAAAUUUAUUUAUGAAAAUUAAGUUAU